rnacentral:tRNA from 7 species
GGAUCUUUAGCUCAGUUGGUUAGAGCAACCGGCUCAUAACCGGUGGGUCCGGGGUUCGAGUCCCUGAAGGUCCACCA